CCUUGUCCGCUUUUUCUCUGUGUCCGCUCCCUUAGCCAGGUGCUUCUGCAAAGGGGCGGAGCCUCUGCACACACCCUCUCCCCUGAUUGGAAGAGCAAGUGGGAGAGGCUAUGCCUUGUGUUGCGCAGUGGCUCCGCCCCUUUUUGUUACUGGAGCUGUUUCCGAGGUGAAGACAGAAGAACAAGAAGAAAUGGAGCUUUGGACAUUAAGAGAGAGCGAGUGAAUGAGAGUAUGGGUAAGGGGGAGUGACGAGCCCCUAGGCUGAGUUGCCUGAGCGGGGAAUUGUUGAAUAAAAUAAAUUAAAAAUUAAACGUAAAAACUUAACUUUUGAUGCGAAUUGCCUCUGGGUUUCCGUGACGAUCGUAUAAAUACACUUUACUGACUCCAUGUCUCUGUCUUUCAGCUUUAGUACAACAAUCCAAACGGGGAUGGCGGUGCAGACUUACAUAGCGCUGUCCUGCACGCAGAUCUGUAGCCAGUUUGGGCUGCGAGCUCGCAAAGCGGCCAAAAAGGACGGGACGUCACGGAGGAAGAGCGCUGUAGGGCAGCGUCAGAGAGAUUGAACGCAGGUUGUGUGCUAGCUGUCGAGAGCAAAGGUAACCAAGUCUGGACACACCGCCGGCGGUUACACUUCCAGGAGUGGAGGGACAGACCUUCGAGUUUGAGUUUUGGUUUAACCUGUUUAUUGCCCGUGACAGGAGCCGGUGCAGAAUAAGACGCCGGCUGUUUAAUGGGUCCAGGGAGGAGACCCUGGCGGUCACAAUAACGCAGUUACGCUUUCAUUUACGCCGUAAUAGUACUGA